rnacentral:lncRNA from 1 species
GAGGCGCCGGGGCCGUUUAAGCGGCCUCCCUCCCGCCCCCAGGCGCCUGCUCUGGCCCGGGCCCUGUGCUGACCGACCCCCGGCGUGGCCCACUCCGGCUCUGCCCAGUUGCGUGGCUCCCGCCUGGCACGCCGGCGGCCUCGGGAGCAGUUCAAGCCCAUGAGGCCGGCGCGCCCUGCCGCCGGUGCAGAAGAGACGGAGCUCCCGGCCCCCGCGGUGGAGCGGAGGAUCAAUGCAGUUCAGGAAUCGAUUCCAGCGUUUCAUGAACCAUCGGGCCCCAGCCAAUGGCCGCUACAAACCAACUUGCUACGAGCAUGCUGCGAAUUGCUACACACACGCAGUGAUUCCUCAUCGUUCCAGCCAUUGUGGGCAGCGCCCUCCUCCAUCGGC